rnacentral:rRNA from 1 species
UUUACACGGAUAACUGUGGUAAUUCUAGAGCUAAUACGUGCAAAUAGCUCGCUUCCUUGCGGAGCGAGCGCAGUUAUUAGAUCAAAACCAAUCCGGCCUUCGGGUCGGUACAAUUGGUGAUUCUGAAUAACCGAAGCAGAGCGCAUGGUCUCGUACCGGCGCCAGAUCUUUCAAGUGUCUGACUUAUCAGCUUGUUGUUAGGUUACGUUCCUAACAAGGCUUCAACGGGUAACGGGGUAUCAGGGUCCGAUACCGGAGAGGGAGCCUGAGAAACGGCUACCACAUCCAAGGAAGGCAGCAGGCGCGCAAAUUACCCACUCCGAGCACAGGGAGGUAGUGACGAAAAAUAACGAUCCUAAGGCGAUUAGCUUCUCGUAAUCGGAAUGGGUACACUUUAAAUCCUUAANGANG